rnacentral:rRNA from 1 species
GAUGAACGCUGGCGGCGUGCCUAAUACAUGCAAGUCGAGCGAACAGACGAGGAGCUUGCUCCUCUGACGUUAGCGGCGGACGGGUGAGUAACACGUGGAUAACCUACCUAUAAGACUGGGAUAACUUCGGGAAACCGGAGCUAAUACCGGAUAAUAUAUUGAACCGCAUGGUUCAAUAGUGAAAGACGGUUUUGCUGUCACUUAUAGAUGGAUCCGCGCCGCAUUAGCUAGUUGGUAAGGUAACGGCUUACCAAGGCAACGAUGCGUAGCCGACCUGAGAGGGUGAUCGGCCACACUGGAACUGAGACACGGUCCAGACGCCUACGGGAGGCAGCAGUAGGGAAUCUUACGCAAUGGGCGAAAGCCUGACGGAGCAACGCCGCGUGAGUGAUGAAGGUCUUCGGAUCGUAAAACUCUGUUAUUAGGGAAGAACAAAUGUGUAAGUAACUAUGCACGUCUUGACGGUACCUAAUCAGAAAGCCACGGCUAACUACGUG